rnacentral:rRNA from 1 species
UGGGGAAUUUGGACAAUGGGCGAAAGCCUGAUCCAGCAAUGCCGCGUGUGUGAAGAAGGCCUUCGGGUUGUAAAGCACUUUUGUCCGGAAAGAAAUCCUUGGCUCUAAUACAGUCGGGGGAUGACGGUACCGGAAGAAUAAGCACCGGCUAACUACGUGCCAGCAGCCGCGGUAAUACGUAGGGUGCAAGCGUUAAUCGGAAUUACUGGGCGUAAAGCGUGCGCAGGCGGUUUGCUAAGACCGAUGUGAAAUCCCCGGGCUCAACCUGGGAACUGCAUUGGUGGCUGGCAGGCUAGAGUAUGGCAGAGGGGGGUAGAAUUCCACGUGUAGCAGUGAAAUGCGUAGAGAUGUGGAGGAAUACCGAUGGCGAAGGCAGCCCCCUGGGCCAAUACUGACGCUCAUGCACGAAAAGCGUGGGGGAGCAAACAGGAUUAGAUACCCUGGUAGUCCACGCCCUAAACGAUGUCAACUAGUUGUUGGGGAUUCAUUUCCUAGUAACGUAGCUAACGCGUGAAGUUGACCGCCUGGGGAGUAA